rnacentral:rRNA from 1 species
GACGAACGCUGGCGGCGUGCUUAACACAUGCAAGUCGAACGGAAAGGCCCUGCUUUUGUGGGGUGCUCGAGUGGCGAACGGGUGAGUAACACGUGAGUAACCUGCCCUUGACUUUGGGAUAACUUCAGGAAACUGGGGCUAAUACCGGAUAGGAGCUCCUGCUGCAUGGUGAGGGUUGGAAAGUUUCGGCGGUUGGGGAUGGACUCGCGGCUUAUCAGCUUGUUGGUGGGGUAGUGGCUUACCAAGGCUUUGACGGGUAGCCGGCCUGAGAGGGUGACCGGCCACAUUGGGACUGAGAUACGGCCCAGACUCCUACGGGGGGCAGCAGUGGGGAAUAUUGCACAAUGGGCGGAAGCCUGAUGCAGCAACGCCGCGUGCGGGAUGACGGCCUUCGGGUUGUAAACCGCUUUCGCCUGUGACGAAGCGUGAGUGACGGUAAUGGGUAAAGAAGCACCGGCUAACUACGUG